UGGUCAAUAGCCUAAAGGCUGAACCAGCAACUUAAAGGAACAAAAAAUCGAAUUCACUCUCGGUUACCAUNNUNAUAGAACGUGGGGAUCUAGCGAAUAGUUCAAAGUAGAUUUUGAUAAUGACAUAAUUUACUUGAUGGUCUUGACCCACUCAUGUGCCAGCAGUCGCGGUAAGACAUGGAAGGCUAGCGUUAUUCAUCUUUAUUAGGUUUAAAGGGUACCUAGACGGUAGUAUUAGCUUUUAUUUUAAUGUGAUAAUUGUACUAUAUUUACUAGAGUUUUAUGAAAGGAAUCCAGAAGAGUGAGUGGAGGGAUAAAAUCCAUUAAUACCAUUUAUUAACUGGUUUAAGUGAAGACAGGUUCCUAUAUAAAAACUGACGUUGAGGGACGAAGGCUCAAUAUAAGCAACGGGAUUAGUUACCCCAGUACUAAGAGCAGACAAUGAUGAAUGCCAUAUGUAAGAGAUAUAUUUUUAUGUAUAAAUUAAAAUGGAAGCAUUCCACCUCAAGAGUAAUAUGGCAACAUAUAAACUGAAAUCACUAGGCCGUGUCUGGAAUUCGUAGUGAAGUAUGUUAUUUAAUUUGAUGGCCCACAAAGGACCUUACCACAGUGUGUAUAGAUAUAUUUAUAUAUAUCGGACAAGUGUUGCNCGGCUGUCUACAGUUGAUAUCGUGAGAACUGAUUCGCUUCAGUAAUUGACNUAAUCCCUGACUUUACUUGAAGUAAAGUAUUAAUUUCGGCAAAUGAACCCUUUUCGAAUUCAAUAUGUGGGAACAUGACAAGUCAUCAUGGCCAAACAUACAAAUUGACAGUAUUGUGGGCGAUAGACGUGCCACAAUUAACCUUGACAAAGAGAUGCAAAAU
rnacentral:rRNA from 1 species